UGAUAGAGGUGGAUAGAGAUAGUGAUAAAAGAGGAGGGGUGAGAAAGAGAGAGGGAGAGACAGGGGUUGAGGGUUAAGACAAGUGAGAAGCUUUAGUGAUUGAGAGACAGAGAGGGUGAGCAAUACAUUGAGAGAGAGAGAGAGAGAGAGCUUGUGUAAUUGUGAUGGUAAUAGGUUUUGUCAGGAGCACCUGUCAGGGUCGAGCUGGAGCCGCUCCGGAGCGACGAGGAGAUGGAGGAGAGGAAAGGAACAGGGUAUUGGAGUCAGGAUCACUCUGAGGAAAGUCCAAUCCAUGAUAGCGUUACCUGAUUGCCAAUUUGUGUCUGUCUUCAGACAUCACACACACACACAUGCACUGUAGUGGAAUGAUGGAGUUGAUUGGACAGGCUCUUGGUGCCUAACGAGGGGUCCAGGGCAAUCACAGACCAGUUGCUUUGUGACUGGAGGAGAAUGAAGGCCGCUACAGCUUGUAUUCUCAUAAUUUCUCGAUGAAAAGGGAGCGCUACACUGAUUGUCUUCCCCCCUACUGUGCAUGCAGUUGAGUUGUGUUUGAAUCGGGCGUGCUGUUCAGAAAUGUUUACUGGAACAGAGAACUUUGAUCAAACUUCUGUGAUUGAGGCUGGAAUCCUAGGGACUCAUCUUUUUCUCUGUCUUUCUUCCUCUCUCACUCUUUUUCUCUUCACUCAAUCUCUUGUUUGUCCUGCAUCUCUUUUUCUCUCCUUGCACGCACACACGCACACAUCGAUUGGAGAGUCGAUAUUGAGCAGUGGCUCUCGUCUAAAUUAAUAUUUGAUUUCUCUGGGGGUUUCAGACUGGAACCCACGGCAUUGAGUUACAGUCUAAACGUUACAGUCUGAGGGAUUGCUCUAAACGUUGUUUGAUUAAGUUUGUGUGUGUGUACGUGUGUGUGUAUGCGUGCCUGCCUGCAAUACAACCCCCUACACACACAUGCAUGCACACACUCACACACACACACACACACACACACACACACACACACACACAUCACUUGUCUAGAAUGCAUCACUCACUGCUAAGCCUCUGCCAUUAAAGCUGUUCAUUUAUCCGACACACAUGGUGACUUAUGUUUGAUUGAUGUGAGCACUAGGCCCAGAACUGUCUCUCAAACACUAGGCCCAGAACUGUCUCUCAAACACUAGGCCCAGAACUGUCUCUCAAACACUAGGCCCAGAACUGUCUCUCAAACACUAGGCCCAGAACUGUCUCUCAAACACUAGGCCCAGAACUGUCUCUCAAACACUAGGACCAGAACUGUGUCUCUCAAACACUAGGCCCAGAACUGUGUCUCUCAAACACUAGGCCCAGAACUGUGUCUCUCAAACACUAGGCCCAGAACUGUGUCUCUCAAACACUAGACCCAGAACUGUGUCUCUCAAACACUAGGCCCAGAACUGUGUCUCUCAAACAGAGUCCCCAGUUCUCUGCAGCGAUAUGGUGAAACCAAAUGCUUGCCUUGUGUACUGUAGCAUCAUUCUUGCUUCAAAAUCCAAUAGUGCUAUUUGUGUACAGUAUAUGGGUGUAUUCUAGGGUUUAGGGUGGGAAGAAAAUCCUUAGUACUGCAGUCAUCCAUUGUAAUGUAAGGAUGAGAGACCCUGGUAUUGUGCUAUAACUCCAAACACAAACACAAGGUAUGUUUCUCUCUGUCAGUGUGUUUGUUUACUUUGUUCUGUUGUUUGUGAGAUCUGAUUGGUAUCAGCGCAGCAGUGUGUGUGUGUGUGUGUGAGAGAGAGUGUGAGAGAGUGUGUGUGUGUGUGAGAUUGAGAGUGAGAGUGAGAGAGAGAGAGAGAGAGAGAGAGAGAGAGAGAGAGAGAGAGAGAGCACGCUGGGGUAAUCUGCUUCUGCAAGAGUUUGUUACAUUAUUCAUCUUCCUGGGGCUCUGCGGCAGGGAGGGAGCAGCGGAGAGGGGUGGAGGAAUAGAGGAAGAGAGAGAAAUGGGGAGAGAGAAACAGAGAGGGUAAAGGACUCAGAUAGAGCAGCCAAACAUCUACGCACUGAGAGAUACAGUAUCAGAUACAUUACUCCCAGAUUGAAGCGGGUUAUUCAUGAACUUUACAGCCACAGUAAAACAGUCUUCUAAAACCCAACUUAAAAAAUACCGAAGUGACCUUCAUGGGAGGGAUCUCAGAUAUUUGUGACUCCAGAGUAUGUUGUUCAGAGCAGACAUCUGUUCUAAACAGACAGGUACUAGUUAACCUGAGCCUUGUAUUAAAUGUCCACCCCAAGGCCUGGGGCGAGGUAAAGAGAAGAGACAGUGUGAGGAAAGGGCUGGGUAUCGAUCCUUAGAGACAGACUUUGGCCUUCGGAUCAGACAAUAUUGACAGGCUAUCACCCACACACCCAGCGAAGUCUGACACUGUCGGACACCCAUCAUUAACACACACACGUGCAUGCAUACCCAUACGCCGGAGGGAGGCUUGAGUGUGUGUGAGGCGGAGGGCUGUGUGCUUGGGAUGCGGAGCACGUCCGAGGUCUGUGAAGUUCUCCUUGCAGCAAAGCCUCAUUAAAGAGGCUCGCCUUAACACAGCUAUCUACAGCCAGACCAGACCUGACCACACACACAGAGAGGGAAGGAGAUAGAGAGAGAGCGAGAGAGAGUGAAAGAGACACUGAGGAACACAAGCACGCACACAAACACCUGAAAUACUAUAUAAAUCUUUCUCAGGACACUGGUUUUACACAGUGUUUGAGUGGGAGCGAAUGGGUUUGUUAGAAGAAGAAGAAUGUUCGCUGCCAUGGUGAUUUAAUCAGACACACAAAAAAAGACCUGACGAAGAUCCAACUCGGCUCGAAACCCUGUUCUUUUUUUGCGUCAGAUUAAAUUACCCUGGGAGCACACCAAAGUUGCAGACAUUCUUUUUUCUUUGAUCUGUCCUGCACCUGAUAAGUUGUAUGUGCAUAUUUGUCUAUUUUUUAUUUUAUUAUAUUUUUACAAUGGGAUUGUUCUCAUCAGGGAGGGUGGGAUUUGACCCCUCCCUCUACAUCCACAGUGUUUAAACUAUGUUCUCCCAAAACAAUUCCCCUCCUACAGUAAUAUGAUAUUCAUGUAUAUUUGAUUGUGUCACCUCUGUGGAGAUUGCCUAUGGUGUGUCUGUGUGCCUUUUAAAUCUGUGUUUAUGAAUAAGUAAUAGAUUGCUAUGCACUCUGAUUAUUAAAGAAGCCAUAUUGCCAGGAAGCCAUGAUGAAAUUAUAUUGUAAUUCCUGCAUCUCCGAUGAAUACAUUUAUAUUUUUCUUUCUUGCAAUUUCUUUCCUGUUUCUGUUCCGGUAAAUGAGCGCUAAAGCUCUCUUGUUUUGCGCUGAGACUCCCUGACGUUUACAUUUGUAUGGUUUUCACAACUGCGCUGAGAUUUUUUUAAUAAAACUGUCCUGUUUCUAAAUAUACAG
rnacentral:lncRNA from 1 species